rnacentral:rRNA from 1 species
UACGAAGGGGGCUAGCGUUGCUCGGAAUCACUGGGCGUAAAGCGCACGUAGGCGGCUUUUUAAGUCAGGGGUGAAAUCCUGGAGCUCAACUCCAGAACUGCCUUUGAUACUGAGAGCUUGAGUCCGGGAGAGGUGAGUGGAACUGCGAGUGUAGAGGUGAAAUUCGUAGAUAUUCGCAAGAACACCAGUGGCGAAGGCGGCUCACUGGCCCGGUACUGACGCUGAGGCACGAAAGCGUGGGGAGCAACAGG